rnacentral:rRNA from 1 species
AGGACGAACGCUGGCGGCGUGCUUAACACAUGCAAGUCGAGCGGAAAGGCCUUUCGGGGUACUCGAGCGGCGAACGGGUGAGUAACACGUGAGUAAUCUGCCCAUCGCUUCAGGAUAGCCAUCGGAAACGGUGAUUAAUACUGGAUAUGACAUUCCUUCGCAUGUUGGGGUGUGGUAAAGUUUUUUCGGCGGUGGAUGUGCGUCGCGGCCUAUCAG